rnacentral:rRNA from 1 species
UACAGAGGGGGCAAGCGUUAUUCGGAAUUAUUGGGCGUAAAGGGCGCGUAGGCGGCCUGGCAAGUGGAAGGUGAAAUCCCUCGGCUUAACCGAGGAACUGCCUCCCAAACUGCUUGGCUUGAGACCGGGAGAGGUGAGUGGAAUUCCCAGUGUAGCGGUGAAAUGCGUAGAUAUUGGGAGGAACACCAGUGGCGAAGGCGGGUCUCUGGGCAAUAACUGACGCUGAGGAGCGAAAGCGUGGGGAGCGAACAGG